rnacentral:rRNA from 1 species
UACGAAGGGGGCUAGCGUUGCUCGGAAUCACUGGGCGUAAAGGGCGCGUAGGCGGCCUGAUCAGUCGGGGGUGAAAGCCUGUGGCUCAACCACAGAAUGGCCUCGAUACUGUCAGGCUUGAGACCGGAAGAGGUAAGUGGAACUGCGAGUGUAGAGGUGAAAUUCGUAGAUAUUCGCAAGAACACCAGUGGCGAAGGCGGCUUACUGGUCCGGAACUGACGCUGAGGUGCGAAAGCGUGGGGAGCAAACAGG